GACUACAAGGGUAUCUAAUCCUGUUUGCUCCCCACGCUUUCGUACCUGAGCGUCAAUGCUGGUCCAGGCAGCCGCUUUCGCCACUGAUGUUCCUUCCGAUAUCUACGCAUUUCACUGCUACACCGGAAAUUCCGCUGCCCUCUACCGCAUUCUAGCCAGGCAGUCUCAAAUGCAAUUCCCAGGUUGAGCCCGGGGAUUUCACAUCUGACUUACCAAACCGCCUACGUACGCUUUACGCCCAGUAAUUCCGAUUAACGCUCGCACCCUCUGUAUUACCGCGGCUGCUGGCACAGAGUUAGCCGGUGCUUUUUCUUUGGGUUAAGUCAAUUCCCAGACGUGUUAGGUCUGAGCCUUUCCUCCCCACUAAAAGUGCUUUACAACCCGCAGGCCUUCUUCACACACGCGGCGUCGCUGGAUCAGGGUUUCCCCCAUUGUCCAAUAUUCCCCACUGCAGCCCCCCGUAGG
rnacentral:rRNA from 1 species